rnacentral:misc_RNA from 1 species
GUAAAAACUACAGCCUGGAAAUCAGAGAGUUGUUCCUUGGACAGUGGUCCAGUUAAGGUAGCAAUUGCAACUGCAUUGUUAAGUUCCUGCAGCUUCUGAACACAAGAUAGAGCUCGAUUCUUACCAACAUCGUCCUCUGAUAAAAAGAAGUUCCCUGACAGAUCCCACAUCUCCACAUUUUCCUCAUCGUGCAGGGUGAUCGAUUUAACACCCGCAAGGGCAAGGUUCUUAGCUAUCUCAGCACCAAGCCCAUUCAGACCAGAAAUAAGAACAUUCGAAGCGAA